UACGUAGGUGGCAAGCGUUGUUCGGAAUUAUUGGGCGUAAAGGGCGCGUAGGCGGCCUGUUAAGUCGGCUGUGAAAGCCUGGGGCUCAACCCCAGAGGGUCGGCCGAUACUGGCAAGCUAGAGUACGGAAGAGGUAGCUGGAAUUCCCGGUGUAGCGGUGAAAUGCGUAGAUAUCAGGAGGAACACCGAUGGCGAAGGCAGGUCUCUGGGCCACUACUGACGCUGAGAAGCGAAAGCGUGGGGAGCGAACAGG
rnacentral:rRNA from 1 species